rnacentral:lncRNA from 1 species
GGAUUUGCCAUAUUCAAGGCAGUAAUUUAAAUUCCAGCUGGGCAUGGUGGUGCACACCUAUGAUCCCAGUGUCUCGACAGGCUGGGGAGGAGGAGGAUCGUGAGUUCAAAGCCAGCCUCAGCAACUUAGCAAGACUCUGUCCUAAAUAAAAUAUAUAAAAGGGCUCGGUAUAUCAUUCAGUGGUUGAGUACCCCUGGUUCAAUCCCCGGUCCCCAAAAGAAAUAAAUUCCAGUUCCUCUCCUUUCCUGUUGAUUUUUGUGGAGGUGCCAGGAGAGGUUGCGGGGGAGGGCCCAUUAGGAUGCUUGGGUGGGGAGUGAGAUCUGUGUGCAGCAGGGAGCCGCGGGAGCCACUGUCCAUGUGCUGGUAGGUGUGUGCCCUGUGGCAUUUGGACAGGGGACACUGAGGUGGCGAUGAACAACCUCCCCAAAUCUUGCAUUCAGCCAGCCUCCUCUGUAGCUGCUGCUUUGGUCACAUGACGAGGGCCUCACAGUGCUCACAGGAACAGUGUCACUCUCUGGGUCACAACUCCAGGGAAGAGAUGCUUCUUCACAUGGAGCUGGGCUUGUGGUGGCUGCAGACCAUCCUCCUCCUGGUCGGGACGGCGCACUGUCUAGCGCUCUGUCUUCUUCCUGGUCUGGAUGGCGCAUCUGUCUUCUUCCUGGUCUGGAUGGCGCACAGUCUAGCGCUCUGUCUUCCUCUUGGUCUAGAUGGCGCACAGUCUAUUACUCUGUCUUCCUCUUGGUCUGGAUGGCACACAGUCUAGUGCUCUGUCUUCUUCCUGGUCUGGAUGGCGCACAGUCUAGUGCUCUGUCUUCCUCUUGGUCUGGAUGGUGCACAGUCUAGCACUCUGUCUUCUUCCUGGUCUGCAUGGCGCACAGUCUAGCACUCUGUCUUUCUCUUGGUCUGGAUGGCACACAGUCUAGUGCUCUGUCUUCCUCUUGGUCUGGAUGGCGCACAGUCUAGUGCUCUAACUUCCGCUUGGUCUGGAUGGCACACAGUCUAGCACUCUGUCUUUCUCUUGGUCUGGAUGGCGCACAGUCUAGUGCUCUGUCUUCCUCUUGGUCUGGAUGGCGCACAGUCUAGUGCUCUGUCUUCCUCCUGGUCUGGAUGGCACACAGUCUAGCUCUCUGUCGUCUUCCUGGUCUGGAAGGCACACAGUCUAGUGCUCUGUCUUCCUCUUGGUCUGGAUGGCACACAGUCUAGCUCUCUGUCGUCUUCCUGGUCUGGAUGGAGCACAGUCUAGUGCUCUGUCUUCCUCUUGGUCUGGAUGGUGCACAGUCUAUUUCUUUGUCUUUCUCUUGGUCUGGAUGGCACACAGUCUAGAGCUCUGUCUUCUUCCUGGUCUGGAUGGCACACAGUCUAGAGCUCUGUCUUCUUCCUGGUCUGGAUGACGCACAGUCUAGUGCUCUGUCUUCCUCCUGGUCUGGAUGGCACACAGUCUAGUGCUCUGUCUUCCUCCUGGUCUGGAUGGCACACAGUCUAGAGCUCUGUCUUUCUCUUGGUCUGGAUGGCACACAGUCUAGAGCUCUGUCUUCUUCCUGGUCUGGAUGGCGCACAGUCUAGAGCUCUGUCUUCCUCUUGGUCUGGAUGGCACAUAGUCUAGCUCUCUGUCUUCUUCCUGGUCUGGAUGGCACACAGUCUAGCGCUCUGUCUUCUUCCUGGACUGGAUGGCGCACAGUCUAGUGCUCUGUCUUCUUCCUGGUCUGGAUGGCGCACAGUCUAGCGCUCUGUCUUUCUCUUGGUCUGGAUGUCGCAUAGUCUAUCACUCUGUUGUUGAGAAUUCAGACUCCAUGGGGUCCUGCCUGCAGCUACACCAUGCCCUGAGCCCUGCGCAGGGGGACCAGCUGCUGCCAGGGCCCUGCCAAUGUGUGAUAGGCAGUCCAUCUCUCCUUGGCUUGUGACGUCUGGGUUCUCUGGGAGGAGGCAGCAGUGUGCUCGUGAGCAGCUUCAACAACAGUGGGUUGUUGGAGGCCUGCCUGAGUCUGCCCUGCUGGGGAGAAGUGGCAUCCCAGUUCUCCAUCCCAUGGUGCCUAGUUGGUCUCCCUAUGUCUCACACCCACGCUGGGUUGCGUGCUGGACCCUGCAUCCCAGCCUGCCUCAAGGGUCAAGAGUGGACUUUGUAGUGAACCACCUUUUUCCACUGCCUCCACAUUCAGUUUUCAGGGCA